rnacentral:rRNA from 1 species
CCCUUAGAUGGUCUGGGCGGCACGCGCGCUACAAUGAUGCAUUCAAAAAGUCUUCUGACCUUAGAAGGUUGGGUAUUCUCCAAAGUGCAUCGUGAUGGGAAUAGUUUAUUGCAAUUUUUAAUCUUGAACGGGGAAUUCCUAGUAAGUACAGGUCAUCAACUUGUGUUGAUUACGUCCCUGCCCUUUGUACACACCGCCCGUCGCUCCUACCGAUUGAGUGGUCUGGUGAGGCUUUGGGGUCUGAGCGGAAAGAGCGUUUCGCUGUUUCUGCUCGGAAAACUCAGUCGAACCUUAUCAUUUAGAGGAAGGAGAAGUCGUAACA